AAAAAAAAAAUAAUGAAUGAAAUCAGCAGGAAAUGGUAUUACCAGCAGAAAUAGCAACAAAAUUAUUAGCAAAAUAUACUGGCCAAAGCUGGAAAACUAUAAACCCUGAUUUAAAGAGCCAAAUAAUACAAACAUAUUCAUUAUGACAAAACCCAUCAGAAUUCUUGAAAUUUUUUAGAUGAUAAUCUGAGAAUUAAGGGGAAAAAGUAACAAGAAUAAGAAAAAAAAUAAAUUCAAAAGCACAAAUAUACGAAAACCCAGAUCGAUUUGGACCAAGAAACGGCAACCCCGUGAAAAAAUAAACAAGAAAAAGAAAGAAAGACCAUCACCUCAACGAAACAAUCAUGGAAAG
rnacentral:misc_RNA from 1 species